UAAGGAAUAUUGGUCAAUGGGCGCAAGCCUGAACCAGCCAUGCCGCGUGCAGGAAGACGGCCCUAUGGGUCGUAAACUGCUUUUGUCAGGGAAUAAACCCCCGCUCGUGAGCGGGGCUGAAGGUACCUGAAGAAUAAGCAUCGGCUAACUCCGUGCCAGCAGCCGCGGUAAUACGGAGGAUGCAAGCGUUAUCCGGAUUCAUUGGGUUUAAAGGGUGCGCAGGCGGAUUGGUAAGUCAGGGGUGAAAUCCCACAGCUCAACUGUGGAACUGCGUUUGAUACUGUCAGGCUAGAGUAUAGUUGAAGUGGGCGGAAUGUGUCAUGUAGCGGUGAAAUGCUUAGAUAUGACACAGAACACCGAUCGCGAAGGCAGCUCGCUAAGCUAUAACUGACGCUCAUGCACGAAAGCGUGGGGA
rnacentral:rRNA from 1 species